UGGGGAAUAUUGCACAAUGGGCGCAAGCCUGAUGCAGCCAUGCCGCGUGUAUGAAGAAGGCCUUCGGGUUGUAAAGUACUUUCAGCGGGGAGGAAGGGAUGAUGUUUAAUACGCAUCGUCAUUGACGUUACCCGCAGAAGAAGCACCGGCUAACUCCGUGCCAGCAGCCGCGGUAAUACGGAGGGUGCAAGCGUUAAUCGGAAUUACUGGGCGUAAAGCGCACGCAGGCGGUCUGUCAAGUCGGAUGUGAAAUCCCCGGGCUUAACCUGGGAACUGCAUUCGAAACUGGCAGGCUGGAGUCUUGUAGAGGGGGGUAGAAUUCCAGGUGUAGCGGUGAAAUGCGUAGAGAUCUGGAGGAAUACCGGUGGCGAAGGCGGCCCCCUGGACAAAGACUGACGCU
rnacentral:rRNA from 1 species